CCGACGCAGCACCACAGUUUCUUUAGAAACUAACCCCCUUUACUAAUUAGUUAACUGCAGUUGUGAAGAAAACAGAAUCACAUACAUCAAGUUAACCAAAAGAAGCAGUUUGAUCCUUUUACCCUGCCAUAGAAGGACCAUUCUAAUUUGCUGUUGCACCUCAAUCUUUAAUAUCUUGAGUUUACAUUUCAAAAUCCCACAAUUUUUAUAGCAUUUUAAAUUUUGACACUGCCUACCAUAAUAUCACUAACUUUGAAAUGUGCAUUGUUCAUUGUGUAAGGUCCAUGCUUGUUACCUUGUUUAGGUAUUCUUGGAACACCCUUCUACAGCGAAGGCACCAAAGUUGGCACAGUGAAAGAAAACCUGUCUCCCCACGGGUUGGGAGACAGUUCCAACUUACCUUCGCGAACGAACGAAGUCAUUCGUUUGGAAAAAGGGCUUCUUGCUGCCUGCAAGGGAGAGGACACAUUCUUGCCGUGUUUUCUGAUUGACUCUUUCCACGAGGUAAAGUUAUGCACCUUUCUUCCGUCACAUGCGCAAAGGUUGAUGGUACUUGAAGCAAAGAAGGCAGGGGAGGGGAAAGGAAUGGAAAAAUUGAGAGG